GUUCUUUUAAUCUUUUCUUACUACGAGUUACAUCAAUAGUAUUCAUACGACUGUAGUCUACAUUUGGCACAGGAUAUUUUAACCUCUGCUUAUAUCCAGCUCUACUUAAUGCCAUGCGUUUUUGUUGAAAUUUUUUUCACUACAUAAUAAAUUUGAUAUUUCUCCAGAUAUAUAUUUUCAAAUUAAUUUUGUUAAAAAUUUCAAAAUUAGGUAUAUAAGAGUUGUUCCCCUUGAAAACUUAACUCAUUCAGUGACAUCUUUUUGAGUUGCGCCGACGGUGGUUUUUUUCUUGUAACAGUCACGAUGGCAGAUGACGAGAGGCAGAGGUAAAUCGGAUAAACUUUCAUCCGAUGCUACCGAGAAUCUGCGAGUUUUGAAUGGCCACACAAGUCAGUGAAUGCAAAAUCGACAGAUUCUUGCCUCAACAGACGACAUAAAGACACGUAAAGUAAUUCUGAAGAAUAUUUUUUUCUCAAUUUCGCCCAUUCUGUCCACCCAUAUUUAUCACUGGACGCAAAUUUUCUGAAGAUGGAUCUUCACUUUUCGCCACUUGUUUGAAACAAAGAGUAAAUUACACAGGAAAUGAAUGAACAGUCUGCUUUUUUUUUAAAGUAUAAAGUGUAAAGCUUUGGAUAAACGGUGGACUGGAAAAGAAUUGGGAAUUUUGUCUCCUCGAUUUUCCGUAUCAUUACAGUGUAAAAAAGUCUUAGAAUCUAUGUUCUCUGUAUAUUACUGGCAUAAAUUUGCACCUUCACAGUAA